AAAUUGAAGAGUUUGAUCAUGGCUCAGAUUGAACGCUGGCGGCAGGCCUAACACAUGCAAGUCGAACGGUAACAGGAAGCAGCUUGCUGCUUCGCUGACGAGUGGCGGACGGGUGAGUAAUGUCUGGGAAACUGCCUGAUGGAGGGGGAUAACUACUGGAAACGGUGGCUAAUACCGCAUAACGUCGCAAGACCAAAGAGGGGGACCUUCGGGCCUCUUGCCAUCAGAUGUGCCCAGAUGGGAUUAGCUAGUUGGUGAGGUAACGGCUCACCAAGGCGACGAUCCCUAGCUGGUCUGAGAGGAUGACCAGCCACACUGGAACUGAGACACGGUCCAGACUCCUACGGGAGGCAGCAGUGGGGAAUAUUGCACAAUGGGCGCAAGCCUGAUGCAGCCAUGCCGCGUGUAUGAAGAAGGCCUUCGGGUUGUAAAGUACUUUCAGCGGGGAGGAAGGUGUUGUGGUUAAUAACCGCAGCAAUUGACGUUACCCGCAGAAGAAGCACCGGCUAACUCCGUGCCAGCAGCCGCGGUAAUACGGAGGGUGCAAGCGUUAAUCGGAAUUACUGGGCGUAAAGCGCACGCAGGCGGUCUGUCAAGUCGGAUGUGAAAUCCCCGGGCUCAACCUGGGAACUGCAUUCGAAACUGGCAGGCUUGAGUCUUGUAGAGGGGGGUAGAAUUCCAGGUGUAGCGGUGAAAUGCGUAGAGAUCUGGAGGAAUACCGGUGGCGAAGGCGGCCCCCUGGACAAAGACUGACGCUCAGGUGCGAAAGCGUGGGGAGCAAACAGGAUUAGAUACCCUGGUAGUCCACGCCGUAAACGAUGUCUACUUGGAGGUUGUGCCCUUGAGGCGUGGCUUCCGGAGCUAACGCGUUAAGUAGACCGCCUGGGGAGUACGGCCGCAAGGUUAAAACUCAAAUGAAUUGACGGGGGCCCGCACAAGCGGUGGAGCAUGUGGUUUAAUUCGAUGCAACGCGAAGAACCUUACCUGGUCUUGACAUCCACGGAAGUUUUCAGAGAUGAGAAUGUGCCUUCGGGAACCGUGAGACAGGUGCUGCAUGGCUGUCGUCAGCUCGUGUUGUGAAAUGUUGGGUUAAGUCCCGCAACGAGCGCAACCCUUAUCCUUUGUUGCCAGCGAUUAGGUCGGGAACUCAAAGGAGACUGCCAGUGAUAAACUGGAGGAAGGUGGGGAUGACGUCAAGUCAUCAUGGCCCUUACGACCAGGGCUACACACGUGCUACAAUGGCGCAUACAAAGAGAAGCGACCUCGCGAGAGCAAGCGGACCUCAUAAAGUGCGUCGUAGUCCGGAUUGGAGUCUGCAACUCGACUCCAUGAAGUCGGAAUCGCUAGUAAUCGUGGAUCAGAAUGCCACGGUGAAUACGUUCCCGGGCCUUGUACACACCGCCCGUCACACCAUGGGAGUGGGUUGCAAAAGAAGUAGGUAGCUUAACCUUCGGGAGGGCGCUUACCACUUUGUGAUUCAUGACUGGGGUGAAGUCGUAACAAGGUAACCGUAGGGGAACCUGCGGUUGGAUCACCUCCUUACCUUAAAGAA
rnacentral:rRNA from 6 species